CAGCCGCCGCGGUAAUACGAAGGGGGCUAGCGUUGUUCGGAUUUACUGGGCGUAAAGGGCGCGUAGGCGGAUUCUUAAGUCAGGGGUGAAAUCCCGAGGCUCAACCUCGGAACUGCCUUUGAUACUGGGGAUCUUGAGUCCGGAAGAGGUGAGUGGAACUGCGAGUGUAGAGGUGAAAUUCGUAGAUAUUCGCAAGAACACCAGUGGCGAAGGCGGCUCACUGGUCCGGAACUGACGCUGAGGCACGACAGCGUGGGGAGCGAACAGGAUUAGAUACCCCAGUAGUCCCUGUCUCUUAUAC
rnacentral:rRNA from 1 species